CUCCGCCUCUUCCUUCUGCAGUCACGGGAAGCAGUUCGAAGCAGAUCAGAAGUCGAACACGUUUGCUUUUGCGAUUCGAGAGCCCUUUCUGGCGCGGAGCUGGGGGCGGCGUUAGGUAGCCGCCCUGGACUGAGAGCGACAGUGGCCCGAGGCCAGGGCACCUGGCGGCUCCGCGCUUGCUGCGCGCCUGGGGCGGCCGGGCUCUGUCCGAGGUGCUGAACUCCGGGCUCCGGCCGCGCGGGCGCAGAGUGCCGCCGUCCUUUACUGCCGGUGCCUGCGGGCAUCUUCCAGGCCGAGCGAGCGGGUCAGGUGAGACCAGGGCGAUGAGGGCAUUGAAGCUCAGAGUGGUUGACGCCUUGCCCCAAGGUCACACAGCCAAUACGUGAUAGUGCCAGAAUUUGAAUUGGUUCCAAAGCCUGUCUAUUUCUCAGAACUUUCACUUCAUUGACUCUUCACAAGUCUGUAAAUUGGGACUCUUCCCCAUUCUAUCGAUGAGGACAUGGGCUCAGGAGAGUCACAGCAAGUUGCCCAAGAAGACACAGCAAGGAAGAGACAGGUAGAGUGGUGUUCAGACGGAAGGCUGACUUCAGAGCUGCUGGAGACCUGCCGCGCCUCGCAUCUUCACAAAGCUUCGCAAGCUGUUUACAGAGACCUGAAGCCGUUUGGAGCACUGCCUACAAAAGGAAGUAAGGUUUCUGCCUUUGUCAUCCAACCGUUGCCAUGGUCUCUGCAUGCUUUUAGCAAUUAAUCACCACUAUCAAUUUCCACUAUUACCCGGUUCAUUACAUUUCUUCUUUCAUGUCGAUUGCUGGCCCUGGAGCAGGCUGUAGUUCUGAAAAGGGGCAGCUAAACCCACUGCAAAGGCAUGCCCCCGCACAGCCACCUGCAGUCCAAUCUGGUAACAUGGGAAACCACCCAAGGCCUGGCACUAGGACUGCUCAGUGCAAUUAAAUGCCUGCAUCUCCCAGCAGCCACACCUGGGGGACCUGAUGAAGAGACACCCAGUAGAUAGAGCCAGCCGUCAGCCACUUAGAAACACUUAGAGACUCAGGGUAUGGGGAGCCCUGGACAGGGAGUCCGGAGACCUUUGUCCAGUCCCUACUGCUGAUGACACUGUGUUCUCACCACUGACUCCCAGCCCCUGAUACUGCCCCGGACUGCCCACCCUGGGGCUUAGCAUCCACACGCUCACAUGCAGCUUUGUGGGGAAGUAAGUAAAGGGAUGCUUUUACACCCUUUUUACUGGGUAUGUAAGUGCUGACCUUUGAGCCAGCCAUGCCGCCCUCAGUGCACUCUAAGAAGCAGUCCUCUUCCCCAUCCUGUGUCCUGGCCUCCGGACUGUGUGACGCCACCUGCGCUUAGAUGCAAAUCCCAGCAGAAAACGUAGCCUCUUAGCCACUCCGCAUUCCUGCUGACCUCCUGAUGUGCUGGGGAAGCACUGGCUGAGUAGACAGUUGGAAUUUCAUUCUUGGGACCGGAGCUGGGCCUGCAGGGCAGCCCCUGAUCCUGGAGAGGUGCAGGGAUGCAUGUGGAAGGCAAAUCUGUGUGCCUAAGGCUGGCCUGGAGUGAAGAGGAGCGAGGCCAAGGACAGCAGCUAGGAGAGGAGCCAGUGGAUUCUUGUGUCACCACGUCUGCGUUCCUCAGCACUUUAGGCUCUGGGUCCGGGUGCAGCUUGGGGGCAAAGGCAUGUAAAGCCCAUAGCAUCGCAGAACCAGUGGCCAAGGAGGAGGAUGUGGGGGCAGGGGAAACUAAUCUUUAGAAAGGGAAUAGCUGAUCCAUUCCACGGCAGGACCUAGAGAGGGGCCACCUGCCAGUCCGGCAUGGUGUCACGGGAAGCACCAUCUCUGCCUUGCUCCAGAAGAAAUUGCUGGACGUCCCCAGGGGCCCAGCAGAGGGCUGGCAGAAGAGGGUGGGCGCUCUGGGGUCCAGAGCCAGAUAUGGUCCCAGAAGAACCAGACAUGAUGACCCAAACUGAAACAGGGGCUUCUAAGCAGGUCCUGUGAGGGUGCACACGGGCCUGGGACCUGGGACUCUGAGGUCAGUGUGAUCCCAGGGAAGACUCAAGUCUGGGGCAGCCAGGGAGCUCAGCAGGGUGACAAGCAGGGCGACAGGCUGAAAGGUUUGGCUCAGAAACGCAGCAGGGUGGUGCGUACAGGCAGCCCCUUCAAGGAGUUGGGGAGAGAGAGAAGCAGCAGCUAACCCCCGCCAUCCACCGACUAACACUCUGGAUACAACGCCCAUUCUGCACGAGGAGAGAAGGGCCUGAUGAGGAGGAGUCUCUAAUACCAUGGGUGUGGGGGCCCUGCAGGGUCAGCGCCUCGUUUGGGGUUGAAAAGGAGCGUGGUUUUGGCGCAGUUCAGCUCUGGAGCCUGGCAAAGGGAAAGACUCACCCAAGGUCACCCUGCAGGUAGGCAGCGGAGGCAGGAGGGUCACACGGUGCCUCCACAGCGCCUGGUGGCCUCCGCUCUAACAACACGGAACGGGGAGUGCUGUUUUCUCUCACAGUUGGACACUGGCCUCCUAAGCACCACGUGCCCCAGGCUGCCUUGCAUAGAACAUUCCCCCAUCACAUUGCUGAUGAUUUGUCUUGUAAUCAUUCCUAUUAAUUUUACCUUUGGAAGGCCUCUAACAUAGUCAGUCACAUGUAAUGGAGUCCUCUUCAGAUUCUGCAAGGUCUUUUGAAUCCCUCUUUGGCAAAUAAGGAAGUGGAGGUUCAGAUAGGCUAGGUAACUUGCUUAAGGUCACAUAGCUAAUCAGUAGCAGAGCCAGCAUUCAGACCCUUUGCCAAGACCCCACCGAAGCGAGUCAGCAAGUCCAUAUACUUUCACCCACCCAUGAGAAUCUACGGCUGUCUGUUUCUGGCCCCAUCCUAGUCAUGCAGACGACAAGAGAAAGGGCUUUCAGUUUCUCCUUUUAAAAACUGCUAACUUUAGUCUUAAAAGACAAACGCCCUGAAGCUGACCCAACAGAAUGCUGAAAAUCACAGGUGGAGAGGCAAGGCCCUCGGCUCUGCAGGCCUCCCUGCUAAAAUGAAUCAGCACCAGCUAGACCUCCCUCCAGUUCAAGAUGAGAUCAUCCCCCGAAACAGGAAGUACUGCCUCCCACCAGACCAGUGCGUGCAUUUUCUCCGGAGCAGGGAUGGGGGUGGCCAGCCCAGGGGUCUGCACUGCAGAGCUUUGGGUCUUUCCCCAAGGGAGCUACAGAUAUAGCAGGUGCUGAGGUCUUCAUGAAAUCCGCAUCGAGCCUGGCCUUCACGAGGAGACAGGUCCACAGAGCCUCAGUACAAACCUCACACAGAGCGUACAGUGACGAAAGAAGGGCCCCCCUUCCAGAACCGAAGCAUGCAUGAACUACGAGGAUUCCUGUUAAGAACCCAGGUCAGAGGCUGUGAAAUGAGAAGGAUAAGCAAGAAAAACAUACGCCUCCUUGGGGAGUUUGAACUCACAGAUUAAUCCCUGGGCAUAGGCGCCCGGUACAGAUUAGCCCAAUUUAAACUGACAAAAAAUUAUGGUAAAGAUGUUUCCUCUGCUGAAAAGUGUUUUUGUCAUUUGUCUCUUUACAUUUUGAGAUUUGAUCUCUAAUUCUAAAGCAAUCCAUGUUAUUUAAUUUAAAAAAAUGUAAACAUAAACUAUACAGAGCAGCAUUCACUCAAAGCAAAAUUAAGCAUGUUUGCUAAUCCCACCAUUUUGUUUAGUCUAAAGAAGUGAAUGUGUCACCCCUCUCCUCCCUGGCAGCAACUAUUAACUUCCUGGUGAUUCCUUCCGGGUCUUUGUCUCUGUUUAAAUAAACACAUGUUGACAUAUGCAAUAAACA